CGUGAGUGAAGAAGGCUUUCGGGUCGUAAAGCUCUGUCAAGUGGGAAAAAAAGCUCUCGAUUAAUAGUCGGGAGACCUGAUGGUACCACUGGAGGAAGCACCGGCUAACUCCGUGCCAGCAGCCGCGGUAAUACGGAGGGUGCAAGCGUUGUUCGGAAUUACUGGGCGUAAAGAGCGUGUAGGCGGUUUGGCAAGUCAGAUGUGAAAGCCCUGGGCUCAACCCAGGAAGUGCAUUUGAAACUGCCAUCCUUGAGUAUGGGAGAGGAGAGUGGAAUUCCCAAUGUAGAGGUGAAAUUCGUAGAUAUUGGGAGGAACACCCGUGGCGAAGGCGACUCUCUGGACCAAUACUGACGCUGAGACGCGAAAGCGUGGGGAGCAAACAGGAUUAGAUACCCUGGUAGUCCACGCCGUAAACGAUGAGAACUAGGUGUAGCGGGUAUUGACCCCUGCUGUGCCGAAGUUAACGCAUUAA
rnacentral:rRNA from 1 species